rnacentral:rRNA from 1 species
UUAAACGUCCAUACCACGUUGAAUUCACCGGUUCUCGUCCGAUAACUGAAGUUAAGCAACAUCGGACGCGGUCAGUACUUGGAUGGGUGACCACCUGAAAACACCGCGUGACGUUGGCU